rnacentral:rRNA from 1 species
AGCAGCCGCGGUAAGACGUAGGGCGCGAGCGUUGUCCGGAUUUAUUGGGUUUAAAGGGUGCGUAGGCGGCCCGUUAAGUCAGCGGUGAAAUCCCGGGGCUCAACCCCGGAACUGCCGUUGAUACUGGCGGGCUUGAGUUCGGUUAAGGCGGGCGGAACUGGUGGUGUAGCGGUGAAAUGCUUAGAUACCACCAAGAACCCCGAUUGCGUAGGCAGCUCGCUGAGCCGAAACUGACGCUGAGGCACGAAAGCGUGGGGAGCGA